CAAUAGCGUAUAUUAACGUUGUUGCAGUUAAAAAGCUCGUAGUUGGAUUUCUGGUGGGAGCGGCCGGUCCGCCGUAAGGUGUGUACUUGGUUGUCUCCUGUCAUCCUUGUGGGAACUGCUCUGGCAUUAAGUUGUCGGGGUUAGGGAACACAUCGUUUACUGUGAAAAAAUUAGAGUGUUUAAAGCAGGCUUAUGCCGUUGAAUACAUUAGCAUGGAAUAAUAAGAUAGGACUUUGGCGUCUAUUUUGUUGGUUUGCACACCAAGGUAAUGAUUAAUAGGGAUAGUUGGGGGUAUUCGUAUUUAAUUGUCAGAGGUGAAAUUCUUGGAUUUAUGAAAGACGAACUUCUGCGAAAGCAUUUACCAAAGAUGUUUUCAUUAA
rnacentral:rRNA from 1 species